rnacentral:rRNA from 1 species
GACGUAGGGCGCGAGCGUUGUCCGGAUUUAUUGGGCGUAAAGAGCUCGUAGGCGGCUUGUCGCGUCGACUGUGAAAUCCCGCGGCUCAACUGCGGGUCUGCAGUCGAUACGGGCAGGCUAGAGUUCGGUAGGGGAGACUGGAAUUCCUGGUGUAGCGGUGAAAUGCGCAGAUAUCAGGAGGAACACCAAUUGCGAAGGCAGCUCGCUGGGACGUUACUGACGCUGAGGAGCGAAAGUGUGGGGAGCGAACAGG